UCACCCGAUUCGAACGUUAUCACUCGAUUGAAUGGGGCGUUAUCAGCGGUUAUCAGCCCAUAGAAAUGGGCCAGGAGGGGCCUCCUGCGCCUACUAGUAGGCUCAGAAGGCCGUGAUCAUCCAUCCAAAUGGUUGAUCACCCACAAAUAUACAAGAGAAGACUCCAGAUCCAAUCCCAGAAUUCCUGCUCACCGGUAAUCGGAAGUCUACUGGACGAAUGCGGGAACGUUGCGAUUUCCUGCUGAAUAUUUUCAGGCACAAUGAAUGAUAUUAAGGGCAGGUGCGCCACAUUGGAGGAAGAUGCAAAGCAAAAAUACAUUCAAGAGGCAGCAGCACUGAGGGCACAUGGGCAGGCACAGGACACUAAACCCUGAGAUGGAGGCAAUUUGUGCUGUGUCUGCCGCAUCCAUUUUUAUGAUAAGAAGAAUGCAAGAAAGAAGUGGCAUUCAUGGUCUCAGUGCACAGUGUGCCAAUCAUGGUCACACACAGCAUGUGGCUUUAAAAAGAACAUGUGCGUUCACUGCCAGGGUCAAGACACCAUGCUAACACCCUGAAGAUGUAUCUUGUUACUUGUUUGAGUUGUUUUUACUGUGUUGACGGCCCCCAACCCAUCCAUACAAACACACACACACACACACACACACACACACACAAUACAUACAUAUGCUGCAAAUUUAUUGUAAUGACCACACUUCACACCUAAGAAGAAAAUUGUGAUCUUUUUGUUAUUUUCAUUCACCCCAUUUUUAUUUAUUAUUGUUGUUUGUUGGCACCAUCAAUGUGUUCUCCUUUAUAUAGGACUUAUGUGGGGACCAAUAAAGUUAUAUUGUACUGAA